GACGAACGCUGGAGGCGUGCUUAACACAUGCAAGUCGAACGAUGAAAUGGAGCUUGCUCCAUGGAUUAGUGGCGAACGGGUGAGUAACACGUGAAUAACCUGCCCUUAAUUUUGGAAUAACCCAGGGAAACCUGGGCUAAUACCGGAUAAGUAAACCUGUGGCAUCACAUGGUUUUGGAAAGUUUUUCGAUUAAGGAUGGAUUCGCGGCCUAUCAGCUUGUUGGUGAGGUAAUGGCUCACCAAGGCGACGACGGGUAGCCGGCCUGAGAGGGUGAACGGCCACACUGGGACUGAGACACGGCCCAGACUCCUACGGGAGGCAGCAGUGGGGAAUAUUGCGCAGUGGACGAAGGUCUGACGCAGCGACGCCUCGUGAGGGACGAAGGUCUUCGGAUUGUAAACCUCUUUCAGCAGGGACGAAGCGAAAGUGACGGUACCUGCAGAAGAAGCACCGGCUAACUAUGUGCCAGCAGCCGCGGUAA
rnacentral:rRNA from 1 species